GAUGAACGCUGGCGGCGUGCCUAAUACAUGCAAGUAGAACGCUGAAGGAGGAGCUUGCUCUUCUGGAUGAGUUGCGAACGGGUGAGUAACGCGUAGGUAACCUGCCUGGUAGCGGGGGAUAACUAUUGGAAACGAUAGCUAAUACCGCAUGACAACAGUUAUUGCAUGAUAACUGUUUAAAAGGGGCAACUGCUCCACUACCAGAUGGACCUGCGUUGUAUUAGCUAGUUGGUGAGGUAACGGCUCACCAAGGCGACGAUACAUAGCCGACCUGAGAGGGUGAUCGGCCACACUGGGACUGCGACACGGCCCAGACUCCUACGGGAGGCAGCAGUAGGGAAUCUUCGGCAAUGGACGGAAGUCUGACCGAGCAACGCCGCGUGAGUGAAGAAGGUUUUCGGAUCGUAAAGCUCUGUUGUAAGAGAAGAACGAGUGUGAGAGUGGAAAGUUCACACUGUGACGGUAUCUUACCAGAAAGGGACGGCUAACUACGUG
rnacentral:rRNA from 1 species